UACAGAGGUCCCAAGCGUUGUUCGGAUUCACUGGGCGUAAAGGGUGCGUAGGUGGCCAGGUAAGUUUGAUGUGAAAGCUCGGAGCUUAACUCCGAAAUGGCAUUGAAUACUAUCUGGCUUGAGGGUCGGAGGGGAGACUGGAAUUCUCGGUGUAGCAAUGAAAUGCGUAGAUAUCGAGAGGAACACCAGUGGCGAAGGCGAGUCUCUGGACGACACCUGACACUGAGGCACGAAAGCUAGGGGAGCAAACAGG
rnacentral:rRNA from 1 species